rnacentral:lncRNA from 1 species
AAGUCUGGAUGCCACAUCAAACUGUUUGUGGUACUUCUAAACUUCGUGGAAGAGCCCUGUUUCAUAAAUCUGAGACAGCCUUGGUCUGAGGGAGCAAAGACAGAGAAUUCACGUGCUGCCCAGGCAUAGCCACAUAGCAGGUGGACAUCCCUGGACACUUUUCUGGCAAAGCACGCAAUGUGGGGACAACACAGAAAUCCAAGAAAGGCAAGACCAAUUUCAAGGCACUAAAUAAGUGGACUGAGACAAGAAGUACACAGAUACUUCCCAGAACAAAGGAUUUUAUGUCAUAGACCCUCAUUGGAUUUUCCUGGAAGUACGGAGAGUUACAUCCAGAGAACUCUGAACAUUUUGGAAGGACCCCAAUCCUGCAAACAAUGAAUGGCAAUAAAUCCUGGGACUGGAAAGG